rnacentral:sRNA from 1 species
ACUCAACGUUAAUUCUUUAAAAAGGGUGAGUUUAAGUUGUAAAAGCGAGCUGUCUUAGAACAGAUACUUGAUCAGCUUGUUAGCCCUAAACUUGUUUUUAAGGAGUUU